UACACACCGCCCGUCACACCAUGGGAGUUGGUUUUACCCGAAGACGGUGCGCUAACUAGCAAUGGAGGCAGCCGGCCACGGUAGGGUCAGCGACUGGGGUG
rnacentral:rRNA from 1 species